CCUCAGUCCUAGAGCCAGGGAUUGCAGGUUUGCAUUUCCUAUGCAGGACAGCAUCUCCUUCUCAGUGUGCACAGUGAGAAGAUGACCAGCUGGCAUCACCAUUAGCUCUGAGCUCACAGCAGGUGGGAGAUUUGUGUCCCCUCACCCUGCAGGAAUCACCUACAGUCACAUUCCUAGAGCUCCACAGAGCACACUGCCUUGCUCAUUGUUGCCACUCUUGCUGAGAGAUGCUCCACCUCAGGAAUGUGAGUGCAGCAGGAGAUACACAUCCCAAGUGGCACAGAAGAUGUUAAUGUAGUACCCAAUAACCUUCACAGAUGAAGCAAACAGCUGAGUUGAAAAAGCUGUCAUAAAUAUUUGUGUCACAUCCCUAGCAAAGUUAAUGGAGGAAGAGGAAUGCUGUCUUAGAAGAUGAAGCAGUAUAUGGACAGACUUCAGAAAGCACAGAGAAAUGAAUGAAUUCCUCAUGGAAUGUGCUUUAUGGAGAACUCCUUUUUAUCUUCACAAGUCCUGGAGAAACAGCAGUGGCCACCAAUGCCUUACUUCACCCCUAAGCUGAUCCCCUGCAUGUGUCUCUUGUAUAAAGAGCUCUGUUUGACUGCUCUCCUUUUCCGUGAAGAUCACCCGAGCUGAGUGUUUGCUUCACAGGGGUGUUCCCCCCCCUUAAUUUUUCCCUUGUUCAGAGUGGUUAGUCAUUGAGUAGGUAUAACCAGGUCAGCAGACACAGACCUACAAAUGCUGAUGUUAUGAUAGCUUUUAUUACCAAUAAGUGUGCAAUUUUAUUGAUGGUACCUGAACAAUCAUUUUAAGUUGAAGUGUUUUCUAACCAGCAAUAUAACAAUUUGCCUGGAAUUUGCUAUAUAAAGUUAUAUAUGAUAAAUGUGCCUUGAUUCAGCAGAAAUAUAAUUUUAUGAAAUCA